GAGGGUUGACAAACACUGUAGUAGAUAAAGGAGAGGGUUGAGAAACACUGUAGUAGAUAAAGGAGAGGGUUGGGGAAGACUAGUAGAUAAAGGAGAGGGUUGAGAAACACUGUAGUAGAUAAAGGAGAGGGUUGGGGAAGACUGUAGUAGAUAAAGGAGAGGGUUGAGAAACACUGUAGUAGAUAAAGGGGAGGGUUGACAAACACUGUAGUAGAUAAAGGAGAGGGUUGAGAAACACUGUAGUAGAUAAAGGAGAGGGUUGGGGAAGACUAGUAGAUAAAGGAGAGGGUUGAGAAACACUGUAGUAGAUAAAGGAGAGGGUUGGGGAAGACUGUAGUAGAUAAAGGAGAGGGUUGAGAAACACUGUAGUAGAUAAAGGGGAGGGUUGACAAACACUGUAGUAGAUAAAGGAGAGGGUUGAGAAACACUGUAGUAGAUAAAGGAGAGGGUUGGGGAAGACUAGUAGAUAAAGGAGAGGGUUGAGAAACACUGUAGUAGAUAAAGGAGAGGGUUGGGGAAGACUGUAGUAGAUAAAGGAGAGGGUUGAGAAACACUGUAGUAGGUAAAGGAGAGGGUUGAGAAACACUAGUAGAUAAAGGAGAGGGUUGGGGAAGACUAGUAGAUAAAGGAGAGGGUUGGGGAAGACUAGUAGAUAAAGGAGAGGGUUGAGAAACACUAGUAGAUAAAGGAGAGGGUUGAGAAACACUGUAGUAGAUAAAGGAGAGGGUUGAGAAACACUAGUAGAUAAAGGAGAGGGUUGGGGAAGACUAGUAGAUAAAGGAGAGGGUUGGGGAAGACUAGUAGAUAAAGGAGAGGGUUGAGAAACACUAUAGUAGAUAAAGGAGAGGGUUGAGAAACACUGUAGUAGAUAAAGGAGAGGGUUGAGAAACACUGUAGUAGAUAAAGGAGAGGGUUGAGAAACACUGUAGUAGAUAAAGGAGAGGGUUGACAAACACUGUAGUAGAUAAAGGAGAGGGUUGAGAAACACUGUAGUAGAUAAAGGAGAGGGUUGGGGAAGACUAGUAGUAGAUAAAGGAGAGGGUUGGGGAAGACUAGUAGUAGAUAAAGGAGAGGGUGUGCGGAAGACUAGUAGAUAAAGGAGAGGGUUGGGGAAGACUAGUAGAUAAAGGAGAGGGUUGAGAAACACUAGUAGAUAAAGGAGAGGGUUGAGAAACACUGUAGUAGAUAAAGGAGAGGGUUGAGAAACACUGUAGUAGAUAAAGGAGAGGGUUGAGAAACACUGUAGUAGAUAAAGGAGAGGGUUGAGAAACACUAGUAGAUAAAGCAGAGGGUUGAGAAACACUGUAGUAGAUAAAGGAGAGGGUUGAGAAACACUGUAGUAGAUAAAGGAGAGGGUUGAGAAACACUGUAGUAGAUAAAGGGGAGGGUUGACAAACACUGUAGUAGAUAAAGGAGAGGGUUGAGAAACACUGUAGUAGAUAAAGGAGAGGGUUGGGGAAGACUAGUAGAUAAAGGAGAGGGUUGAGAAACACUGUAGUAGAUAAAGGAGAGGGUUGGGGAAGACUGUAGUAGAUAAAGGAGAGGGUUGAGAAACACUGUAGUAGAUAAAGUGGAGGGUUGACAAACACUGUAGUAGAUAAAGGAGAGGGUUGAGAAACACUGUAGUAGAUAAAGGAGAGGGUUGGGGAAGACUAGUAGAUAAAGGAGAGGGUUGAGAAACACUGUAGUAGAUAAAGGAGAGGGUUGGGGAAGACUGUAGUAGAUAAAGGAGAGGGUUGAGAAACACUGUAGUAGGUAAAGGAGAGGGUUGAGAAACACUAGUAGAUAAAGGAGAGGGUUGGGGAAGACUAGUAGAUAAAGGAGAGGGUUGAGAAACACUGUAGUAGAUAAAGGAGAGGGUUGGGGAAGACUGUAGUAGAUAAAGGAGAGGGUUGAGAAACACUAGUAGAUAAAGGAGAGGUUUGGGGAAGACUGUAGUAGAUAAAGGAGAGGGUUGAGAAACACUGUAGUAGGUAAAGGAGAGGGUUGAGAAACACUAGUAGAUAAAGGAGAGGGUUGGGGAAGACUAGUAGAUAAAGGAGAGGGUUGGGGAAGACUAGUAGAUAAAGGAGAGGGUUGGGGAAGACUAGUAGAUAAAGGAGAGGGUUGGGGAAGACCAGUAGUAGAUAAAGGAGAGGGUUGGGGAAGACUAGUAGAUAAAGGAGAGGGUUGAGAAACACUAGUAGAUAAAGGAGAGGGUUGAGAAACACUAGUAGAUAAAGGAGAGGGUUGGGGAAGACUAGUAGAUAAAGGAGAGGGUUGGGGAAGACUAGUAGAUAAAGGAGAGGGUUGGGGAAGACUAGUAGAUAAAGGAGAGGGUUGGGGAAGACUAGUAGAUAAAGGAGAGGGUUGAGAAACACUAGUAGAUAAAGGAGAGGGUUGAGAAACACUAGUAGAUAAAGGAGAGGGUUGAGAAACACUGUAGUAGAUAAAGGAGAGGGUUGAGAAACACUGUAGUAGAUAAAGGAGAGGGUUGAGAAACACUGUAGUAGAUAAAGGAGAGGGUUGGGGAAGACUAGUAGUAGAUAAAGGAGAGGGUUGAGAAACACUGUAGUAGAUAAAGGAGAGGGUUUAGAAACACUGUAGUAGAUAAAGGAGAGGGUUGAGAAACACUAGUAGAUAAAGGAGAGGGUUGGGGAAGACUAGUAGAUAAAGGAGAGGGUUGGGGAAGACUAGUAGAUAAAGGAGAGGGUUGAGAAACACUAGUAGAUAAAGGAGAGGGUUGAGAAACACUGUAGUAGAUAAAGGAGAGGGUUGAGAAACACUAGUAGAUAAAGGAGAGGGUUGGGGAAGACUAGUAGAUAAAGGAGAGGGUUGGGGAAGACUAGUAGAUAAAGGAGAGGGUUGAGAAACACUGUAGUAGAUAAAGGAGAGGGUUGAGAAACACUGUAGUAGAUAAAGGAGAGGUUUGAGAAACACUGUAGUAGAUAAAGGAGAGGGUUGAGAAACACUGUAGUAGAUAAAGGAGAGGGUUGAGAAACACUGUAGUAGAUAAAGGAGAGGGUUGAGAAACUCUGUAGCAGAUAAAGGAGAGGGUUGGGGAAGACUAGUAGUAGAUAAAGGAGAGGGUUGGGGAAGACUAGUAGUAGAUAAAGGAGAGGGUGUGGGGAAGACUAGUAGAUAAAGGAGAGGGUUGGGGAAGAUUAGUAGAUAAAGGAGAGGGUUGAGAAACACUAGUAGAUAAAGGAGAGGGUUGAGAAACACUGUAGUAGAUAAAGGAGAGGGUUGAGAAACACUGUAGUAGAUAAAGGAGAGGGUUGAGAAACACUGUAGUAGAUAAAGGAGAGGGUUGAGAAACACUAGUAGAUAAAGCAGAGGGUUGAGAAACACUGUAGAAGAUAAAGGAGAGGGUUGAGAAACACUGUAGUAGAUAAAGGAGAGGGUUGAGAAACACUAGUAGAUAAAGGAGAGGGUUGAGAAACACUGUAGUAGAUAAAGGAGAGGGUUGGGGAAGACUGUAGUAGAUAAAGGAGAGGGUUGGGGAAGACUAGUAGAUAAAGGAGAGGGUUGAGAAACACUGUAGUAGAUAAAGGAGAGGGUUGGGGAAGACUGUAGUAGAUAAAGGAGAGGGUUGAGAAACACUGUAGUAGGUAAAGGAGAGGGUUGAGAAACACUAGUAGAUAAAGGAGAGGGUUGGGGAAGACUAGUAGAUAAAGGAGAGGGUUGAGAAACACUGUAGUAGAUAAAGGAGAGGGUUGGGGAAGACUGUAGUAGAUAAAGGAGAGGGUUGAGAAACACUAGUAGAUAAAGGAGAGGUUUGGGGAAGACUGUAGUAGAUAAAGGAGAGGGUUGAGAAACACUGUAGUAGGUAAAGGAGAGGGUUGAGAAACACUAGUAGAUAAAGGAGAGGGUUGGGGAAGACUAGUAGAUAAAGGAGAGGGUUGGGGAAGACUAGUAGAUAAAGGAGAGGGUUGGGGAAGACUAGUAGAUAAAGGAGAGGGUUGGGGAAGACUAGUAGUAGAUAAAGGAGAGGGUUGGGGAAGACUAGUAGAUAAAGGAGAGGGUUGAGAAACACUAGUAGAUAAAGGAGAGGAUUGAGAAACACUAGUAGAUAAAGGAGAGGGUUGGGGAAGACUAGUAGAUAAAGGAGAGGGUUGGGGAAGACUAGUAGAUAAAGGAGAGGGUUGGGGAAGACUAGUAGAUAAAGGAGAGGGUUGGGGAAGACUAGUAGAUAAAGGAGAGGGUUGAGAAACACUAGUAGAUAAAGGAGAGAAUUGAGAAACACUAGUAGAUAAAGGAGAGGGUUGAGAAACACUGUAGUAGAUAAAGGAGAGGGUUGAGAAACACUGUAGUAGAUAAAGGAGAGAGGGUUGAGAAACACUGUAGUAGAUAAAGGAGAGGGUUGAGAAACACUAGUAGAUAAAGAAGAGGGUUGAGAAACACUGUAGUAGAUAAAGGAGAGGGUUGAGAAACACUGUAGUAGAUAAAGGAGAGGGUUGAGAAACACUAGUAGAUAAAGGAGAGGGUUGAGAAACACUGUAGUAGAUAAAGGAGAGGGUUGGGGAAGACUGUAGUAGAUAAAGGAGAGGGUUGAGAAACACUGUAGUAGAUAAAGGAGA